AUUGAACGCUGGCGGCAGGCUUAACACAUGCAAGUCGAGCGGGGGAAGGUAGCUUGCUACCGGACCUAGCGGCGGACGGGUGAGUAAUGCUUAGGAAUCUGCCUAUUAGUGGGGGACAACAUCUCGAAAGGGAUGCUAAUACCGCAUACGUCCUACGGGAGAAAGCAGGGGAUCUUCGGACCUUGCGCUAAUAGAUGAGCCUAAGUCGGAUUAGCUAGUUGGUGGGGUAAAGGCCUACCAAGGCGACGAUCUGUAGCGGGUCUGAGAGGAUGAUCCGCCAGACUGGGACUGGGAGACGGCCCAGACUCCUACGGGAGGCAGAAGUGGGGAAUAUUGGACAAUGGGGGGAACCCUGAUCCAGCCAUGCCGCGUGUGUGAAGAAGGCCUUAUGGUUGUAAGGCACUUUAAGCGAGGAGGAGGCUACUUUAGUUAAUACCUAGAGAUAGUGGACGUUACUCGCAGAAUAAGCACCGGCUAACUCUGUGCCAGCCGCCGCAGUAA
rnacentral:rRNA from 1 species